UGAAAAAGCUUGCUUUGAUCAUCUUAGUGGCGGACGGGUGAGUAACACGUGAGCAACCUGCCUUUCAGAGGGGGAUAACGUUUGGAAACGAACGCUAAUACCGCAUAACGUAUACGGAUGGCAUCGUCUGUAUACCAAAGGAGCAAUCCGCUGAAAGAUGGGCUCGCGUCCGAUUAGCUAGAUGGUGAGGUAACGGCCCACCAUGGCGACGAUCGGUAGCCGGACUGAGAGGUUGACCGGCCACAUUGGGACUGAGACACGGCCCAGACUCC
rnacentral:rRNA from 1 species